GGCAGGCGUCCUGGAUGGGACCUCAGAUCUUAGAUGUUAGGUUUGGCUGCGAUGUCUGUUUGGUAUUAGGCCCAGGCUAUCUGCGCCCCUUCAUCAACUAGAUAGAGUUGCUUAGACGACGACUUUAGUCUUACUGUUGUAUUACUUUGUAAGGUCUUGUGAGAAUAAUUAAUAAAGUGACCGUAUGCAUCGCCCAGAUGCAGAGGCCGGGGGUCAUCCUCCUUUUCCUAAAAAAAUGUAGGCCGAUUGAUUGUUGUUUGUUGCCUUGAGAUAUUACAUGUUUAUAUGGCACGAUUGAGUGCUGUUUGUUCAUGGUUAUUACAAUCGAUUGAUUGUUGUUUGUUGAUUGGUAUCUAAUUUUGGUAUUGGUAUUAGUAUUAAUUUUUUGAACUUUUUUUUGAUUAUUAUGCCUUCACAUUGCACUGCUCCCAGAUCCAUAUCGACAUGCCCACGCUGUCUGACGAGGAUACAGAUGUUAUGAAAAAAUGGGGUGCUCCAAACAAGAUUGUCUUCCUCUCUUUCUUAUACAAGGCAUGCAGAAGAUGUGCGGCAAAAGUUUGCUCUGCACAAGUGCAACAUGACUGGAAAACCUGCUGCUGUUACUUGUGUUGUGGACAGUAUGAUGGACAACCUAAGGCCUACUCGUGCAGAUGCAACUGAUGUGGCAAAUGCGGUGCUCGAUGGUAGUGAUGCCAUUCUCCUUGGGUUGCAUCCAGUUGAGACUAUUACAACGGUAGGCAGAAUUUGUGCUGAGGCUGAGAAGGUCUUCAACUAGGAUUUGUACUUCAAGCGAACCAUGAAAUACGUGGGAGAACCCAUGAUCCACUUGGAGUCUAUUGCUUCCUCUGCAGUGCAGGCUGCUAUUAAAGUUAAGGCUUUGGUCAUCAUUUGCUUCACCUCAUCUGGAUAGGAGAAAAAGAGUAUUUCUUCUUAUAGGCGCUUCACCUCAUCUUGUAGUUUAAUAGAAAUUGAUUCAUAUAUUAUGCCCUAUCGAGUAUCUGCAGGCUAAUUGCCAAGUACAGGCCCACCAUGCCAUUCCUCAUCUAAAAACAUGUCAAUUGAAGUGGAGCUUCACAAGCGCAUUUGAAGCUGAAUCUACUAGCACUAGGAAUGAAUCAGUGUUGAAGGUUGCUUUUGACCACGGCAAAGCAUCCGGUGUGAUCAAGUUGCAUGGCUUACCUUAGCCAGAAUUUCUAUAAGAAUGUUGCUCAUGUUACAUGCUUUGCUUUCUCUAGAACAAAGAUCCAGAUCACCCUCGCCCCUCUAGAGAAAUCAGUUUACUCAUUCAAGUUCUGGAAAUUCUUUAUAGCUUUUUGAGUUUACUUCGGUCUUUGCAUGUAUUAGCUUUCUGUUUGUGCCCCUGUCUAUGUAUGUUUCUUGUGUGCAAGUGCUCCAUUCUCUGUGUGUGUGUGUGACCGUGUGUGGCUUGACUCUGUGUGUGACUAUGUGUGGCUUGAUUGUGUGUGUGCUUGACUCUCUGAUUGUGUGACUCUGUGUGUGCUUGACUCUAUGUGUGUGUGAAUGUUGCAUUUGCUUGAUGGUGUGGCAUGUAUGC